rnacentral:piRNA from 1 species
GACCUGGAGAUGUACGGUGUGAACUACUU